rnacentral:rRNA from 1 species
CGCCAGACUCCUACGGGAGGCAGCAGUGGGGAAUAUUGCACAAUGGGGGGAACCCUGAUGCAGCGACGCCGCGUGGGUGAAGGAGUACUUCGGUACGUAAAGCCCUAUCAGCAGGAAAGAAAAUGACGGUACCCAAGGAAUAAGCCCCGGCUAACUACGUGCCAGCAGCCGCGGUAAUACGUAGGGGGCAAGCGUUGUUCGGAAUGACUGGGCGUAAAGGGUGCGUAGGCGGUGUAGCAAGUUAGAAGUGAAAUACCUAGAGCUUAACUCAGGUGCUGCUUCUAAAACUGCUAUACUUGAGUGCAGUAGAGGAAAGUGGAAUUCCUAGUGUAGCGGUGGAAUGCGUAGAUAUUAGGAGGAGCAUCAGUGGCGAAGGCGACUUUCUGGACUGUAACUGACGCUGAGGCACGAAAGUGUGGGGAGCAAACAGGAUUAGAUACCCCGGUA